rnacentral:rRNA from 1 species
UACGUAGGGUGCAAGCGUUGUCCGGAAUUAUUGGGCGUAAAGAGCUCGUAGGCGGUCUGUCGCGUCUGCUGUGAAAACCUAGGGCUUAACUCUGGGCGUGCAGUGGGUACGGGCAGGCUAGAGUGCGGUAGGGGAGACUGGAAUUCCUGGUGUAGCGGUGAAAUGCGCAGAUAUCAGGAGGAACACCUGCGGUGUAGACGGCUUACUGGACGGUAACUGACGCUGAGGCACGAAAGCGUGGGUAGCAAACAGG